rnacentral:miRNA from 1 species
UAGGGUGACUGACUAUCCUGGUUUGCCUGGGAAUGAGGGGUUUCAUGGGACACUGGACUUCCAGUGCUAAAACCAAGGCAGUC